GGUACCCUCUUAUCUGCUCUUGCGGAACUAGGCCAUCAGUCUACCAUAGAUGAGGUUGUCCGUUGAUUUAAUGUCUUUCUGGAAGACAGAGAGACGCCACUCCUCCCACCAGAUGUUCGAAAGGCUGCAUAUGUUGCACUGAUGCAGACCGUGAACAAGUCAAACAAAAGUGGAUAUGAAUCUCUCCUGAAGAUUUACAGGGAAACUGAUCUGAGCCAGGAAAAAGUCUGUGUGCUUGGUUCUUUGGCAUCGUCCCCUGACCCUGAUGUUGUUCGUGAAGCGCUAAAUUUCCUGCUAUCGUCUGAGGUAACAAGGAA